rnacentral:rRNA from 1 species
UACGUAGGGUGCAAGCGUUGUCCGGAAUUAUUGGGCGUAAAGAGCUCGUAGGCGGUCAGUCGCGUCUGCUGUGAAAACUCGGGGCUUAACUCCGGGCUUGCAGUGGGUACGGGCUGACUAGAGUGCGGUAGGGGAGACUGGAAUUCCUGGUGUAGCGGUGAAAUGCGCAGAUAUCAGGAGGAACACCAAUAGCGAAGGUAGCUCGCUGGGACGGUACUGACGCUAAGGCGCGAAAGCGUGGGGAGCGAACAGG